rnacentral:rRNA from 1 species
CUACGGGGGGCUGCAGUGAGGAAUAUUGCACAAUGGGGGGAACCCUGAUGCAGCAACGCCGCGUGGAGGAUGACGCAUUUCGGUGUGUAAACUCCUUUUAUAUGUCAAGAAAAUGACGGUAGCAUAUGAAUAAGCACCGGCUAACUCCGUGCCAGCAGCCGCGGUAAUACGGAGGGUGUAAGCGUUACUCGGAAUCACUGGGCGUAAAGGACGCGUAGGCGGGUUGGAAAGUCAGGUGUGAAAUCCUACAGCUUAACUGUAGAACUGCACUUGAAACUUCUAAUCUAGAGUAUGGAGGGGGAGAUGGAAUUAGUGGUGUAGGGGUAAAAUCCGUAGAUAUCACUAGGAAUACCUAAAGCGAAGGCGAUCUCCUGGAACAUUACUGACGCUAAGGCGUGAAAGCGUGGGGAGCAAACAGGAUUAGAUACCCCGGUAGUC